rnacentral:lncRNA from 1 species
CUUCCCGCCGUCGCCGUAGAUGCGUUUAUUCGGAAGUCCGCGCCGCGUUCUUUAAUCGUUUUAGCACGUGAAAAGCGGAAAAGUGGUAAAAAUACAUCGAUAAAAUUGUCGCGCAAUCGUGUGAUGUGUUGUGGAAAGUAGCAAGCAUGAAAAUAUGUGCCCAAAGUCAACCCAAAAUUGAGCCCAAAUGUGUGAAAGUGCAGUGCAAUCAGUGAAGUGAAGUUUUUUUCUGUGAAAAAAAGUAGUGCAAAGGCGCAGCGAGCGCCCACGAUCCCGCUAAUGCCAGAGCUGUCUCAUUUUUUUCACGUGGUUUUCGGUUCAGUUUGCGGAGCACCUCUCUGUGUGUGUGUGUGAGUGCGUGUGUGAGAAGAACGAAAUUCGGCUGCAGUGAGAGCAGGAGAGCAGCAGCGCCAUCUAGUGCUAGUGCGAAAAGUGAAUCAUUGCAAAAGCAACGGUACCAGAAAAGCAAGAGAUCGCAUUAGACUUAAGAGCAUGCUCUCUCU